CACUCAGGAGACAUCCCUCGGAGGAAAAGAAGAGUUUGUUGCCACCACUGAGAGCACCACAGAGACCAAAGAACCCAAGAAGGCAAAAAGGUCAUCCAAGGAGGAAGCCGAGAUGGCCUACAAAGACUUCCUGCUCCAGUCCAGCACCGUGGCCGCCGAGGCCCAGGACGGCCCCCAGGAAGCCUAGACGGUGUCGCCGCCUGCUCCCUGCACCCAUGACAAUCACCUUCAGAAUCAUGUCGAUCCUGGGGCCCUCAGCUCCUGGGGACCCCACUCCCUGCUCUAACACCUGCCUAGGUUUUUCCUACUGUCCUCAGAGGCGUGCUGGUCCCCUCCUCAGUGACAUCAAAGCCUGGCCUAAUUGUUCCUAUUGGGGAUGAGGGUGGCAUGAGGAGGUCCCACUUGCAACUUCUUUCUGUUGAGAGAACCUCAGGUACGGAGAAGAAUAGAGGUCCUCAUGGGUCCCUUGAAGGAAGAGGGACCAGGGUGGGAGAGCUGAUUGCAGAAAGGAGAGACGUGCAGCGCCCCUCUGCACCCUUAUCAUGGGAUGUCAACAGAAUUUUUCCCUCCACUCCAUCCCUCCCUCCCGUCCUUCCCCUCUUCUUCUUUCCUUCCAUCAAAAGAUGUAUUUGAAUUCAUACUAGAAUUCAGGUGCUUUGCUAGAUGCUGUGACAGGUAUGCCACCAACACUGCUCACAGCCUUUCUGAGGACACCAGUGAAAGAAGCCACAGCUCUUCUUGGCGUAUUUAUACUCACUGAGUCUUAACUUUUCACCAGGGGUGCUCACCUCUGCCCCUAUUGGGAGAGGUCAUAAAAUGUCUCGAGUCCUAAGGCCUUAGGGGUCAUGUAUGAUGAGCAUACACACAGGUAAUUAUAAACCCACAUUCUUACCAUUUCACACAUAAGAAAAUUGAGGUUUGGAAGAGUGAAGCGUUUUUCUUUUUCUUUUUUUUUUUUGAGACGGAGUCUCUCACUGUCGCCCAGGCUGGAGUGCAGUGGCGCAAUCUCGGCUCACUGCAACCUCCGCCUCCCAGGUUGACACCAUUCUCCUGCCUCACCCUCCCAAGUAGCUGGGACUACAGGCGCCUGCCAGCACGCCUGGCUAAUUUUUUGUAUUUUUAGUAGAGACAGGGUUUCACCGUGUUAGCCAGGAUGGUCUCGAUCUCCUGACCUCGUGAUCCGCCUGCCUCUGCCUCCCAAAGUGCUGGGAUUACAGGCGUGAGCCACCGCGUCCGGCCUCUUUUUUUCUUUUCUUUUUUUUGAGACAAAGUCUCACUGUGUCACCCAGACUGGAAUGCAGUGACACAAUCUCGGCUCACUGAAACCUCUGCCUUCCAGGUUCAAGCUAUUCUCAUGCCUCAGCCUCUCAAGUAGCUGGGACUACAGAUGUGGGCCACCAUGUCUGGCUAAUUUUUUUUUUUUUUUUUUUUUUUUGUAGAGACAGGGUUUCGCCAUGUUGACGAGACUGGUCUCGAACUCCUGGCCUCAAGUGAUCUGCCGCCUCAGCUUCUCAAAGUACUGGGAUUAUAUAGGCAUGAGCCACUGAGCCUGGCCCUGAAGCGUUUUUCUCAAAGGCCCUCAGUGAGAUAAAUUAGAUUUGGCAUCUCCUGUCCUGGGCCAGGGAUCUCUCUACAAGAGCCCCUGCCCCUCUGUUGGAGGCACAGUUUUAGAAUAAGGAGGAGGAGGGAGAAGAGAAAAUGUAAAGGAGGGAGAUCUUUCCCAGGCCGCACCAUUUCUGUCACUCACAUGGACCCAAGAUAAAAGAAUGGCCAAACCCUCACAACCCCUGAUGUUUGAAGAGUUCCAAGUUGAAGGGAAACAAAGAAGUGUUUGAUGGUGCCAGAGAGGGGCUGCUCUCCAGAAAGCUAAAAUUUAAUUUCUUUUUUCCUCUGAGUUCUGUACUUCAACCAGCCUACAAGCUGGCACUUGCUAACAAAUCAGAAAUAUGACAAUUAAUGAUUAAAGACUGUGAUUGCCACC
rnacentral:lncRNA from 10 species